AGAGCGGCGUACGGGUUGCGGAACACGUGUGCACUAGCCUUUAUCUGGGGGAUAGCCUUUCGAAAGGAAGAUUAAUACCCCAUAAUAUGUUGAAUGGCAUCAUUCGACAUUGAAAACUCCGGUGGAUAGAGAUGGGCACGCGCAAGAUUAGAUAGUUGGUGAGGUACGGCUUACCAAGUCUACGAUCUUUAGGGGGCCUGAGAGGGUGAUCCCCCAACUGGUACUGAGACACGGACCAGACUCCUACGGGAGGCAGCAGUGAGGAAUAUUGGACAAUGGGUGAGAGCCUGAUCCAGCCAUCCCGCGUGAAGGACGACUGCCUAUGGGUUGUAAACUUCUUUUGUAUAGGGAUAAACUACCCUCGUGAGGGUAGCUGAAGGUACUAUACGAAUUAAGCACCGGUUAAACUCCGUGCCCAGCAGCCGGGUAAAUACGGAGGGGUGCAGGCGUUAUCCGGAAUUAUGGGGUCUAACAGGGGUCCCGGAAGGCCGGGGAUCCUGGUAGUCCAACGGUGGGUGAAAUCCUCCACAGGUUAAUUGUGAAACCUGGGCACGUUGAUACCUGGAGGUCUCAGAGUUGUGGCAGAAGUAGGUUGGAAUA
rnacentral:rRNA from 1 species